rnacentral:snRNA from 1 species
GGAACGGAGCAAUCCGGUCCG